UACGGAAGGCAGCAGUGGAGAAUAUUGCACAAUGGGCGCAAGCCUGAUGCAGCCAUGCCGCGUGUAUGAAGAAGGCCUUCGGGUUGUAAAGUACUUUCAGUCGUGAGGAAGGUGUUAAGGUUAAUAACCUUAGCAAUUGACGUUAGCGACAGAAGAAGCACCGGCUAACUCCGUGCCAGCAGCCGCGGUAAUACGGAGGGUGCGAGCGUUAAUCGGAAUUACUGGGCGUAAAGGGCACGCAGGCGGUUAAUUAAGUUGGAUGUGAAAUCCCCGGGCUUAACCUGGGAAUGGCAUUCAAGACUGGUUAGCUAGAGUCUUGUAGAGGGGGUAGAAUUCCAUGUGUAGCGGUGAAAUGCGUAGAGAUGUGGAGGAAUACCGGGUGGCGAAGGCGGCCCCUGGGCAAAGACUGACGCUCAUGUGCGAAAGCGUGGGGAGCGAAACAGGGAUUAGAUAC
rnacentral:rRNA from 1 species